rnacentral:rRNA from 1 species
GGGGAAUAUUGGGCAAUGGGCGCAAGCCUGACCCAGCAACGCCGCGUGAAGGAAGAAGGCUUUCGGGUUGUAAACUUCUUUUGUCAGGGACGAGUAGAAGACGGUACCUGACGAAUAAGCCACGGCUAACUACGUGCCAGCAGCCGCGGUAAUACGUAGGUGGCAAGCGUUGUCCGGAUUUACUGGGUGUAAAGGGCGUGUAGCCGGGAAGGCAAGUCAGAUGUGAAAUCCAUGGGCUCAACCCAUGAACUGCUUUCAAAACUGGUCGUCUUGAGUAGUGCAGAGGUAGGCGGAAUUCCCGGUGUAGCGGUGGAAUGCGUAGAUAUCGGGAGGAACACCAGUGGCGAAGGCGGCCUACUGGGCACCAACUGACGCUGAGGCUCGAAAGUGUGGGUAGCAAACAGGAUUAGAUACCCUGGUAGUCCACACCGUAAACGAUGAUUACUAGGUGUUGGGAGAUUGACCCUCUCAGUGCCGCAGUUAACACAAUAAGUAAUCCACCUGGGGAGUACGACCGCAAGGUUGAAACUCAAAGGAAUUGACGGGGGCCCGCACAAGCAGUGGAGUAUGUGGUUUAAUUCGACGCAACGCGAAGAACCUUACCAAGUCUUGACAUCCCUUGACGAUGCUGGAAACAGUAUUUCUCUUCGGAGCAAGGAGACAGGUGGUGCAUGGUUGUCGUCAGCUCGUGUCGUGAGAUGUUGGGUUAAGUCCCGCAACGAGCGCAACCCUUAUGGUCAGUUACUACGCAAGAGGACUCUGGCCAGACUGCCGUUGACAAAACGGAGGAAGGUGGGGAUGACGUCAAAUCAUCAUGCCCUUUAUGACUUGGGCUACACACGUACUACAAUGGCGUUAAACAAAGAGAAGCAAGACCGCGAGGUAGAGCAAAACUCAGAAACAACGUCCCAGUUCGGACUGCAGGCUGCAACUCGCCUGCACGAAGUCGGAAUUGCUAGUAAUCGCAGAUCAGAAUGCCACGGUGAAUACGUUCCCG